rnacentral:rRNA from 1 species
GACGAACGCUGGCGGCGUGCUUAACACAUGCAAGUCGAACGAAGAGCGAUGGAAGCUUGCUUCUAUCAAUCUUAGUGGCGAACGGGUGAGUAACGCGUAAUCAACCUGCCCUUCAGAGGGGGACAACAGUUGGAAACGACUGCUAAUACCGCAUACGAUCUAACCUCGGCAUCGAGGAUGGAUGAAAGGUGGCCUCUAUUUAUAAGCUAUCACUGAAGGAGGGGAUUGCGUCUGAUUAGCUAGUUGGAGGGGUAACGGCCCACCAAGGCGAUGAUCAGUAGCCGGUCUGAGAGGAUGGACGGCCACAUUGGGACUGAGACACGGCCCAGACUCCUACGGGAGGCAGCAGUGGGGAAUCUUCCGCAAUGGACGAAAGUCUGACGGAGCAACGCCGCGUGAGUGAUGACGGCCUUCGGGUUGUAAAGCUCUGUUAAUCGGGACGAAAGGCCUUCUUGCGAAUAGUUAGAAGGAUUGACGGUACCGGAAUAGAAAGCCACGGCUAACUACGUG